rnacentral:rRNA from 1 species
UACGUAGGGGGCGAGCGUUGUCCGGAUUCAUUGGGCGUAAAGAGCUCGUAGGCGGUUCGAUAAGUCGGCGGUGAAAGUCCGGGACCUAACUCCGGAAGGUCCGUCGAUACUGUUGAACUUGAGUCUGGUAGGGGAGUGCGGAAUUCCUGGUGUAGCGGUGAAAUGCGUAGAUAUCAGAAGGAACACCGGCGGCGAAGGCGACUCUCUGGUCCAUAACUGACGCUGAGUGUGCGAAAGCUAGGGGAGCAAA